CUACAUGAACUCUGCCUGCCUGCACUGUGGCGCUGUUGGUUCCAUUUUAUAGGCAUUGCAAGAUGCCUUGAUGAAGAAGUCAUGCUGUCCUGGCUUUUCAAGUGAAACAUUUGAAUUGCUAAGCUGACCACCAACAGCUGUACUUUCUGCAUGGAUGGCUAGCACAGGAGGAGAUAAAACUGCUGGCAAAUCCAGUCCACUCUUGGAAAGCACAAGAAUGACCAUGGUGAGAUUAUCACUGUUAACCCUUUUAUCACUGGAAGUGAUAAAGUUUUGCUGGAUUGGACAAUUCAAUGGAAAACUACUGGAUAACUGAAAGCGAGUAUUCUGCUUCAUGACAAGACAUUUACAGGCCCAGAGUGCAUACUUUCCUGGUCAGAGGAACAUGUGUUGUGCCUUGAAGAACAAAUCAGAUGGGAAAGAAGUGGAGCUGCGCAAUAAAAGCACCACAACGAUAAUCAUUCUGUUGUAUAGCAGCUCAAAGAAAUGCGUUGACAAAUCUGUGGCAACACGUGACUCUGAACAAACAAGGUUUCACAAGUGAAGACUGUGUGCUGUUUGAGCAAGGUAAUCUUUUAGUGCAUCAGAAGAGUGAUUCUACAGAUAUUAGAAAUAUGGGUACACAAUGCAUGCAUUGAGGCACAUUUAUGAUUAUCAAUUUUGUUAUGUUUAAUUAAGGAAAAUUCCUAAAAAAGUUCUAGUCUUUAAGAAAUGACGCAUUAUCUAGAAAAUAGUUCUUCAGUGCUUGGUAGGUGGUGCUUAAAUGUGCAUUUUUUUUUCUGCAUGCAAUAUAAUUGAAUGCAUAAUUUUGUGAAAAGUUUUUUUAAAAGCAGAAAUAAACAUUCUGGUCUGCCUAGCUUGUGCCUAAAUUUUGUUUGCCUACAGUACCAGAAAUCCUAAGCACCAAUUAAUGUAAAGAGGUCCAUUUCUUCUCCUGGUACACAGAAAAAUAAAAUAAAUUCUAAAGCUAAUUAAUCAGUUGAAAGUAGUGAUCACAUCUUUAAGUAGUAAUGCUUUGGCAAGAGGAACACUUUCAC